rnacentral:tRNA from 1 species
AGCUCAGGUGGUUAGAGCGUCGGAAUCAUAAUCCGCAGGUCGGGGGUUCAAGUCCCUCC